GCACUCAGUUAUCUGUCUGUCUGUGUCUGUCUGUGUCUCACUGUUUUUGUUCGCAAACAAGCCUGAAGCCUAUAUAAUCCUGUAGGAGCUCCAAUCUGUAUCAGGGUCGGCAUUGACUUAGGCGGACGCGCUGGCAGGUUGUCGACCGGGGGUCUUGUGAGACAUCCCUUGCCCCCGUCUGGAGGAUGAAGUCCUCAUCUGUGAGGAAAGUCGGCUGCCGCUGCAGUCUGACAGGCCCUCAACUUACUUUCAGUUUUGCCUUCGCAGCCGUGGCAUAUUCUUCUCAGGGCCACUGGAACAUGGAACAUGUAGGCGCCUGUUUGUUGUUUGUCGUGUUUGUCUUAGUCUUGUUGACAGAAGAAAUGGGACAGACUCAGACGACCCCCUUCUCUCUCACGACAGACCAUUUUUCUCAGACGUUAGGGAGAGAGCUCACAAUUUGAGCAUGGAUGUCAGGGAAAAUUUCGUGUUUUCUGCACCUCCGAGUGGCCAUCCUUUAACGUUCGCUGGCUGCCGGAGGGAACAUUUAAUCCAACCACUCUUUUACAACCUCAGUGUGGAAGUCCAGAAGGGUCGGGGGCAGACUUUUUGUUCUAGUGAGUAGCCAGUUUUCAAUGUUGGAUGGCUGCCAGAGGGAACCUUAUCAUUAAUACUCAGUCUGUAUGUUUGUGUGUCUAAGUGUGUAAAUGAAAAUAUCUUUCUACCUCCGGAUGGUAUUAAUGAAAUUGAUUUAAAGACAAGCGCUUGUGAAAAUUGGGCAUUCUAAAACUUCCAGAAAAUCUGAUAAAAAAUGUUAAGCAUUAAUGCUAAUUUGGGUUUGGCUGAGGCGUGCAUGUCCUUACAGUUAUCAGCUGCCAAAGUUUACUUAAAGUCAUUUAAGUUGAUGUUCCCUGUUAAACAUUUCAAGAAGAUGCUUAAAGAAAAGCUUGACUUUGUCUAAUGUUUAGUAAAAAUUUUCUAAGUAAUCUAGCAUGGUUGCUAAAAAUAAGUAAACAAGUGCAGCAAAUAAGCAUCUUAAUAAUAAUACUGUAUUAAUGUAUAACAGUGUGUAUAUAUGCAAACAGCCUGAGAAUUUUUGUGGUAACCAAAAUUUUUAAAGUUUGCUAAGUUAUAUAGACAUAUUUUGUGCCUAAUGAGAAAUUGUGUUGUAAAGCACAUUUCCAAAAAUGGUAAUAUAUUGUCAUAGAUGUAUCAAUCUGAAGAAUGCUAGUGUAACAGUUUAUGGUGGCCUAUUUUUCAGUGUUCACUGAAAGUUAAAGUAUCAAAUGAUUUUAAGUUCUAAUGAAAACUACUUAAAUAAGGAAAACAUUUCUCUAUGCUAAAAGAUGUAUGUUUUAAUAAGAGAAGGUAUAAAGAAUGAAAACUCGUCUGCAUGCUAAAGAAUGUGUUUUUUGAUAAAAGAAAGUAACUUUGUUCUAAAGUACAGCUAUUUAUUUAAAGGGGGACAGAGAGACAGAGACAAAGAGAGAGAGAGCAGUGUGGUGCAGCAGCGUGGUGCCUUUUGUUGUGGCGGAUCCGCUCAGCCUGUUGCUUUGGGGGAGGGUCAGGAUGUUUAGAGAUAAAGCAGGAUAAACCCAGUCAAGUCCCAGGCAAGCCCAGGCAUAAUUCUCACCGGCUUAUGUGCUUGGGACCAUGGGGCAAAUGAAGAAUAAAUUACUAUAUUCUUACAGAUAUAGUCGUGCUAUGUGAAAUUAAAGCAAGUGAGUCUUGACAUCAGGUACACAGCAAAAUUAGAAUUUUGUUUCCGGUUAAAAAAACAAAGUUUUCUUUAACUGUUAGUCUGCUCUUAAUGUUGAAAGAUUGCAAAACGUUCUCUAAUUGUUUUAUCAAAGCAGUUUCUCAUGCUUAAAGUCUCAGGGAGUUGCCGGAAUAUUUUUAAAAAAAUGAAAUCUUAAUAUUAAAAAGACUAAAAGCUAAAGUUUGUUAACAACUGUGUAACCUUUAUUUGCUUUGAAAUAUUUUGUUAUCAUUCUGGUUAAAUAGAUAAGUAUUGCUUCAUAGCAACCUAUAAUCCUAUUUAAGCAAGUGCCAAAAAAAAAAAAAAAUCAAAUGCAAAAAGGUGCUUUUACCUCUAGUUAACUCUCGUAUUUUCCAGAGGGCCGCUGGAACAUGUCGGAGGAAUUUUUUCCCAUUGGAGAAAGUAUUUGACUAAUUUGGCUUAUUUAUCUGAUCUUAUAUAUAUAUAUAUAUAUUUACCAGGAAAGCACUGUCUAAGAGAAUGAUGCUAAACUUUGUUACUGAAUGUUUUGUUACAGAAAUAUCCAAAUUUUCUUAUAUCAACUCUUAUAGUAAGUUCUCAUCAAGUCUUUAACCAUUGUCAUUUGUAAGUCUUUUGUCAUUUAUAGUCACUUUUAUUAUUCCUGAACUAUUAAAGAACUAGAUUUCAGCAGAACAGGUAUUAGUUACAUAAGAUUACAUAAACUAAAGAAAAUGAUUUUGUGUCUUUUUGUUUCAAAUGUUGCUGAUAAAGUGUUUUAAGCUUGUUCUCUUAAGCUGACAACAGUUUAGUAAAUGACUAUCUUUAUAAGCAGAAUUGAAACAUCUUUCUCUCUACCUGAUCCCUCCAGAAUUUAAAAACUUUCAGUGACUAUUUUUAUAUUCCAUGGCAUGAUGUUUAUUUGCACAAGUUCAAUAAAAAUCUGCUUUCCUUGUAAGAAGACUAAUUAAAAACACUGGUUAUACUACCAAGGCUUUGACUGGAAUGUCAUACCUGAGAGACAUGUGCAUAAACUCAGAUAUGAACAACUUUAAGGAACUAAGAUUGACUUUAUAAAGCCAACAAAGCCCUUUAGAAGAACUGGCCUGGUACCUUGCUUACAGAGUUCCCAGCAGCCUUACCAGAAGCCACAAAACUGCAAAUAGUAAUAGAAAUGAAACCCAGAAUAGAAGCGACAACCUUCUGAGGCCCUCUCAACUGACCAGUGAUGGAGACCUAGCUGCACCCUUUACUGCGCCCCCUCUCAGCACGAAGCAGCCAGAGCAGUCAUCGCCCCUUUUCCCUAGCAGCAGCUAGAGUCUCUAUCUGUAGAGGGGAGAAUGAGACAGGGACCAUAGGCUUAGACAGAAUAAAGUGAGAGCCUCUGAAGAAAGCAAGGCAGGAUAUUUGCAAUCAGAGCAAUAUAACUACAUGCUGGAAACCCCCCUCCUACUAAAACUAUGUUGAACAUUAAGCUCUAGAAUCGAGUGAGAUCAGUUAAUGUUCCCCAGAUAAAGAAGAGUAGCACGUUUUAUUAUGCUAAUCAUUUGUAAUCGUGUAUAAGAUUCACUUUAGCAUACUAAAAAGCCCAGGCCUAUGUGCUGUCUUUCCUCCUUCUGAUCUAAGUAAUUUUGCAAGCUGAGCAACUGACUUAGCAUGCAGACCCAGCUGUAGAUGGCAUAGUAAAAGUCAGGAUUCUUUAGCAAAUAUACAGUAUCUCAGCCCAUCUUAGAGGCUGGGCACGCAGUCUUUUAAUGUGCGCCCAGACCAAGGCGCCAGUGUCCCAGAGAGAAAUCAAGGCAGGAGAUUAUCUUUAAUCAAGGACCCCUUGCCAUUCUACUCCUUUUACUAAUCCUUAGGCCCUGUAUCAUCAACAGGCUGGUCCAGAUUGUCAACAGACCAAAUGGGGGCCGUCCAACUGAUAGUCCUCCUUGCUCAAUACAAGCCCCUAGUAAUCUUGUUACUCCUGCUUACCUGAUAACUUAUUAAAGAUAGAAUUAAUACAGUCAAGCUAAUAGUUCUAAGACAACAGUAUCAGCCUUUAUCUCCUUACAACUGCAAAAUCUUAUUAGACCCAUGAUUGGGUCCCUUAGGAUGCAGAGAAAGAGGGGAAUGAAAGGGCAAGAUCCCAGAUCCUAUUUCAGCCAAUCGGAGCUUAGUCUCUCUCCAGUCAGCAAGAAGUACACCCACCACCCCUAGACCCUGCCAACUGACCAAAGCCACGACUCAUCACCCCCCCAACUACCCCCAGGCCCAGCCAAUCAGCCAGAGCCACGGCCAUCACCCCCCCCAAACCGCCCUGGAAACCCAUAAAACCUUUGUUCUGGGGAAAACGUGCUCUCUUUCUCUGGCAUCUUGCCACUGCGUUGGUGUAGAUGAGAGAUUGAGCUCGAGCUAGCUCGAAUAAAGGCUCUUUGCUUUUG